UCACAUAACAACGCCGCACCUUCAAGUCAUAUCAUGCCGGUCUCUCCCGUAUACAUGUCGGAAAAUAUCCCGACGGGAAAAAACAACCGCAACUGAAUUCAUUUACCUCCGCUGAUUAUAAAGACAAUACCAUCGAUCUUUUUUUUUUUUUUAAGGUAAGAACCAGCACCUUCAAGUGUAGUUUUUGUUUAGCUUUCCCACUGCAGUGAACUUCUCAGUCCUGUUGGUUGUGAAUCCAGCUCAGCUCAUUCAACAUGACGAACAAGAGCCUUUGCACGAAGCCCGUUCUGCCAAAGGAGCCGCCACCAAUGGACAUGCAGGUGGAGGAGUACGUCAGGCCGCCAUGUAUGCCCGUGCUGCCCCCCUGUGCCCACAAAGUGGCCCCGCCCGAACCGGAACCAGCGAUGCCCAUGUGCCCCUGCCCCGCACCGAACUUACCACCCUGCAGAUAUCGUGGCCCACCCCCAGGGGAAGAGGACUGUAAGUUUACGGAUCCGGACAAGAAAAAGGUCACCAAAAAAGGCUUAAACUAUAAGUGAGGAGGACUGGGGGUCUAGUCAACUGUAUAUCACCCACUGUGUCAUUCAAAGCGCACAGACCUCAAUAUUUUUCGGCGUGAGUUGUGACAGGGACAACGGGAGAUGUGAAAUACAUCACACAUACUUGAAAUAAACGCGACUAAAAU